rnacentral:misc_RNA from 1 species
GAAUAAUUAACCAAGCAGAUCGAAAAUGGAGCAAAACUGAAGAGAUUCUGAGUGUGGGAAGGAAGAAGAAGAAGAGAGUUUCGUAAGAGUGUAGAUUCCAUAGCCAUAUCAAAAGGAAAUCAUCAGUAACAUAAAGUAUAAUACCAANNCAACAAAAUACUUCGAAUUUGCAUUUCGGUUUCCCUUCUUUUCUAUUUUUUAAAUCAAUUUCGGCCUGCAGUUUCUCUCAUGCCCGGCAUGGCACACGGGAGCUAAGAG